rnacentral:rRNA from 1 species
CGGCCGCGGUAUCCUGACCGUGCAAAGGUAGCAUAAUCAUUUGUUCUCUAAAUAGGGACUUGUAUGAACGGCCACACGAGGGUUUAACUGUCUCUUACUCCCAACCAGUGAAAUUGACCUUCCCGUGAAGAGGCGGGAAUAAAAAAAUAAGACGAGAAGACCCUAUGGAGCUUUAAUUAACCAGCUCACUAUAUAUCAUCCAACACACCAAUAGGCAAUAACACGAUUACAUUGUAUUGAGCUAGCAAUUUAGGUUGGGGUGACCUCGGAGAACAAAAAAACCUCCGAGUGAUACAAGCUUAGAUCUACAGAUCAAAGNNCUCUACCAUCAUUUAUUGAUCCAAAAACNC